CUUGACAUCCAGAGAAUUUAGCAGAGAUGCUUUAGUGCCUUCGGGAACUCUGAGACAGGUGCUGCAUGGCUGUCGUCAGCUCGUGUUGUGAAAUGGUUGGGUUAACGUCCGCAACGAGCGCAACCCUUAUCCUUUGUUGCCAGCACGUAAUGGUGGGAAACUCAAAGGAGACUGCCGGUGAUAAACCGGAGGAAGGUGGGGAUGACGUCAAGUCAUCAUGGCCCUUACGAGUAGGGCUACACACGUGCUACAAUGGCGUAUACAAAGAGAAGCGACCUCGCGAGAGCAAGCGGACCUCAUAAAGUGCGUCGUAGUCCGGAUUGGAGUCUGCAACUCGACUCCAUGAAGUCGGAAUCGCUAGUAAUCGUAAAUCAGAAUGUUACGGUGAAUACGUUCCCGGGCCUUGUACACACCGCCCGUCACACCAUGGGAGUGGGUUGCAAAAGAAGUAGAUAGCUUAACCUUCGGGAGGGCGUUUACCACUUUGUGAUUCAUGACUGGGGUGAAGUCGUAACAAGGUAGGCGUAGUGCU
rnacentral:rRNA from 1 species